GCACACAUUUUAUUUGAAAGCAUUGAAUAAGUAGCUCAGGCUCUCGCUCAGACUUAAGGGGCUGAUGAACUACGCCCCCGCCGCAACCAGCUUUCUCUGCACCCCAAUCCAGCCCCGCUCCAGACGACGGGCUUAGAUUCUGCUAUCACGUAGGCAGUGAGCCUGGGGAAGAUGCGAUGCCUCCCUUGAAACCAUCAAGACAGAUAUCCGCUGGUUUUAGGGUGUCCCCCAAGGCAAGCAUCUGGGACGCCUCCGGCAUAUGCUCGCCCUCGGGGCCCGACCAGGAGGCUCCAGCUUUGCAAGGCGCCACCGCCCAGAGCUCAGGUCUGGGUUGGAAGGGUGGGCGGCACCGCCUCAGGGUACGUUCUCCCGACUUCGGAGAGAAAGAAAGGAAGAAAUGCACCCUAGGAAAAGGGGCUUCGACUUUUUGUGCCUGUGCUUUCAUGGAAGUCACCAGCUCUCGGCUGCUUAAGAUGCUACUCAGAAGCGCGCCCAGCCAGGCUGUGGCCAUCCGCGCCAAGUCCUCGUGUCCUGGUCGACGAGCACUUUGGGUAGCACCGCGACACACAAUAGCCACCACGGUUAGGAGAUAUGCUCGCUAUGCUUACCUGUUGGCAAAAAUAAAAUGCAAAAUAAAAAUUUAAAUUUGGAAACUAACACAUGGUGACAUCUUCUAGAACCACAGCUCUUUCUUCAGACAAAAGCCAAUUUUACCAUCCCGCAAACCCAUUGAGCCCUGGAAGUUCCGUUCGCGGCACUUUGGCGCCCUCUGGCUUUAUCAGGGUGGCUUGCUUGUUCUGCUUCGUCCUGAAAGAAUAGCGGAGGGGGGGGGGAAUGGAAAUGUAUGUUGCCUUCUUGGUUGGAUCUCCCCUCAUGAGUGAAGCACAGAUUUGGGAUGAGCUUGCCCUCCACGUCCGGAAUAACGAAACACAACUACAUUUAGGGAGACGAAUGCCAAAGGGCCUCAGACCUGGCUACAGAGAUAAACAUAUACACAGAGAUUAAACAGAUGCAUGGCUGCAGAGAGACCUUACUCAGUAAAAUGCUUACAGCUCAAACAUGAGGACCCACAUUCAAUAUCCAGAACACACAGAAGCUGGGCAUGGGCACAGAAACAGUCCAGUCCCUGGCUCCUGGGUCAGCCAUCCUCUUCUUCUUGAUGUGUUCCAUGUUACUGAGAGUCCCUGCCUCAAAAAUGCAAGGCAUGUUUGUGAGUGCCGGUACGCGUGGAGGACAGAGGGCAGCUCCUAAGAGGAGGUCCUCUCCUCUACCUUGUGAGCUCAAGUCUCCAGGCCUGUGCGCAAGAAGCUCUAUGCCCGAGACACUUCUCUGUUUCUGUCUCUCAAUUUUGGAUUAAUUUCUCUACACCUUUGUGGCAUAACCUUCCUGGUCAUCAGACAACUAGCAAAAUCCCAGCUGAUUCAUGUGUGCACGUGUGGGUUCUGCAUAGGUUCCCAUGCCUGAGGUCAGCCCAGGAGGCCAGAAGAGGGCUUUGGAUCCUAAGCAACUGAAAUUAUAGAUGGUUGUGGGAGACCACAUAGGUACUAGAAACAGAACCUGGGUCAUCUGCAAGUACAGGAAGUGUCCUUAACUUGAGCCAUUGCUCAAGCCCCUUGUGCACAGUGUAUUUUAUUAGAAGGAACAAAUAAUCAGAGUUAUCAUGUAACUUUGGGUUGAAUCCAAGGAAAGAAUAAAGGAACAGUUGCAAGACAGAGUGGAGAACAAAAGUUCAGCAGAUGCUGGAGGACGAAAGUCGAAGUUACUAGUCAGGACAGGUAUGCGCAGGAAAUUUGACAAUAGCAUUGACCUUCUGUGGUCUCCAGGCCGGGAGAGUUGAGUAGAUCUAAUCUAGCUCUCAGACAAGGGUGGGAAUACCCUGUUGACGUUGGGCUUACUCUGUAUGUGACUCCACUGUAUCUGGAUCUCCUCCCGGUUGACACACUAAGCGACAAAUGAUUCAAGGACAGAAGUACCCUCAAUUAAGCAAAGUGAUUGUUUUAAAAGGAGUAACAAAUAUUAACACAUUACUUGGGGGAAACCAGGAAAGGGGAUAACAUUUGAAAUGCAAAUAAAGAAAAUAUCUAAUAAAAAUGUUUAAUUAAAAAAAA
rnacentral:lncRNA from 1 species